rnacentral:lncRNA from 1 species
CGUGAGUCCAGCAAUCCAGACAUGUUGAAAGGUUUGGCUAUGCAGAAUUUAAGGACCUGAAUUCUCUUUUCAGUACUCUGAGUCUCAAUGAAAAGUCUCUACUCACAGGAGAAUUCGAGUGAAUGUUGCUAAUCAAGGAUGGGAUAAAGACAGAGAUGACUGUUCCUUUGGUCAAGAUAAAAAAUUGGAAACUCAGACAAAACAGACACAGACUGGAGGCCCCGUCUAGCCACAGACAGCUUUGAUGACUAUCUACCUAAAAGAGGCGAUAACUUUGGAGACAAGUACUGAGAUCGCUAAGAUUCAAACUGGUAUAGGGCUGGGUAUUUGGACCAUCAUCAGGAUGGCCCACACAGAGAUAUGAACCUCUAUGGGGUCCAGGAUCAUUAUGAUGACAUAAGCAGCUGAGAUUAUGACCAAUGCUAUGACUCCAGGAUAAGCAGUGGCAGAAGAGCAUUUGGAAGUGGGUUUCAGAGGGACAAUGACUACAGAGGAGGUGGGGAUGGCUAUGAAGAUUGAUAUGGCAGAACGAAUGAUUCAUCAUAGAACUCCAGGGAUGAUUACUCUUAGGAUAAUUAUAAGCGUGAUGACAGGGCCGCCCUCGUGUUCCCCCUUCCUCCCCCACCUCCAUAUCUCCCCAACCCUACCCCCCACACUCCCACACUCCAGCCCCUCCAUCCCUACUCCCCACCCCACUCCGAGGCCAAAGACCCAAACUUAAUCUAAAACUUGAGAGAAUGCCUAAAGAAGAUGACUCCUCUGCUAGUACCACCUAGUGCAGCCCAGCCGCUUUCAUCUUUGGAGGGGUGAUUUUAGCAUUCUGUCUACACUCCACCCCAUAAUUACCUGGCAACAGUCAAGUAUGCUCCCUCACCCCCCACAGUUACCUGCAACAGCCAGAUGCUAGAGAAAGAGAAACAGAAGAACAGCUACAGAAAGAGGAGCAGAAGCUGCAGUAUCCGUUGGAUGAGCCAAAACUAGACCUCCAGCUCGCUGGAGAGACACCCAAAUCGGGGAAGUGAAGAAACUCAGGAAGAGAACGGUUGAGGACAGGAAGUGAGUCAUCUCAGACUGGGACCAUGGCCACAUCUGGCAAAAGUAAGUCAGACUGAGAUACACAAAGGAAAGAGUGAGAUGUCUCUAGAAAAUGAAGCCCUCAAUAAAGAAGACUGUCACUCUCUAACCUUUAAGCCUCUUAAGCCAGUCUCUAUAGAUUAUGCCAGCCCCUCCACCAAAGAAGAAUGUGUGGGUGAAGCGAAGCUCUAACCCUCCUGCUUGAUCUCGGAGCUCAGACACAGACCAGCAGUCCCCAGAAAUGGUGGAGAUAAAGUACUCCAGCUCAGCCCUCUGAGGAAGGACCAUCAAGGAAAGUUGAAAAUAAAGUAGACAGGGUGAGUGUCACACAAGGCCAAACUGGAAACUCCAGGUAUGGUCCUGGGGAUGAAAGGAAUGAGAGCAAAAAGAUCAAGACUUCAGAUCUGUACCUGAGCCAAAGAAAUCUGAGAAGUUCAGCUCUUCAAGCAAGGAUGCUGCUCUGUCAGUGGAUGGUGAGGAUGAGGGAGAUGACCACAGAGUAGACCUCCACACCCUGUGCUUUCUUCCUAGUCUCCAGCCUGGAAAAUUGAAGAGCAAAUCAAAACUCUAUCCAGACAAGACAAAAUAAACUCAUCAUCUGAGGACCUUUCAAAACCUGUUCUUAAUGAAAUGAAAGUGUUUUGUGUGCAUGCUGCAGCCUUUUAAAGUACUGAAGUAACUGGAGAAACACCAUUGUAGCCAGAGAUGAGACUUCUGCUUUGAGGAAAUUAUGUCUGAUGAUACCAACCUGUGUGACUAGUGCCUGAGGCUCUGUUCAGCAGAAAUGCAGUGACAG